GACCACAGGCUGACACAUCAUGAGGGCGGCGCUGGCUUUCAGGCCGUUCAGCAGGGAUGAGUAGAAGGCAUGGAUGAACAUCUUAGAAGCAGCCACUGGCACAGGCCACAGAGACACGAGGACACACUGAGCGCCGGCAGCCAGGAAGGCCCUUGUCAGCGCGAUGACCCCGUCGGCUGUGACUUUGCUGUUGGACUCCUGGGAGGAGCCAAGCACCACCAGCUUCACAGGCAGCUGCAGGUCCAGGACGUCGGCGGCAGUAAGCAGCAGCUCCUGCAGGGGCGGGCAGUCCGAGAUGCUCUCCCCAUCACUGGCAUCGUCCUGCACCCGCAAGGACUCAGGGAUCGUGUAGGGGUGGCCGAAGGAGCUCUUGCUGCUGGCAGGGUUGCCGUCCAUGCUGGGCGUGAGGACCAAGGCCGACAGCUUCCAGGAGAUGUGGGUGGCAAAGUGGACGCAUUCAGCCUGGGUCAGGGCACUCAUGACCCUCUCCUUGGUGGCCACACUGCCCACUAGGGGCUGGCAGCCCAGCAGCUCGGACACCAUGUAGGCCUCUUCCUCGGCCGAUGGCAUGGGCCCCCACAGCCACCUGUCCAUCACGGCCGAUGGUAGCUUGGGGUUGCCGAUGACAGCCGCCAUGGAUGUGGAGCUGGAGUAUGUGGGCGGGUUCUUCCGUAAGUGAGACUAGGAGGGGAGGGGACAAAGCAGACCACCCGUCAGACAGAACAGCCAGGCUGCCCGGCAGUGGUCGGCCGAGCACAGGGACGGCCAGCUCUCUGCUGGUUGAGCUUGAAUCCACCUGUUUCCCCAGUCACCACAUUCACUCUUAUUUUUCAACAUCUUUUUGACACAG
rnacentral:lncRNA from 1 species